rnacentral:rRNA from 1 species
GACAGAGGGUGCAAGCGUUGUCCGGAUUCAUUGGGCGUAAAGAGCGUGUAGGCGGCCAGGUAGGUCCGUUGUGAAAACUCGAGGCUCAACCUCGAGAUGUCGGCUGAAACCAUCUGGCUAGAGUCCGGAAGAGGAGAAUGGAAUUCCCGGUGUAGCGGUGAAAUGCGCAGAUAUCGGGAGGAACACCGGUGGCGAAGGCGGGUCUCUGGGCCGAUACUGACGCUGAGGAGCGAAAGCGUGGGGAGCGAACAGG